GUAGGGUGCAAGCGUUAAUCGGGAAUUACUGGGGCGUAAAGCGUGCGCAGGCGGUUUUGUAAGUCUGAUGUGAAAUCCCCGGGGGCUCAACCUGGGAACUGCAUUGGAGACUGCAAGGCUAGAGUGUGUCAGAGGGGGGUAGAAUUCCACGUGUAGCAGUGAAAUGCGUAGAGAUGUGGAGGAAUACCGAUGGCGAAGGCAGCCCCCUGGGAUAACACUGACGCUCAUGCACGAAAGCGUGGGGAGCAAACAGGAUUAGAUACCCUGGUAGUCCACGCCCUAAACGAUGUCUACUAGUUGUCGGGACUUAAUUGUCUUGGUAACGCAGCUAACGCGUGAAGUAGACCGCCUGGGGAGUACGGUCGCAAGAUUA
rnacentral:rRNA from 1 species